rnacentral:tRNA from 1 species
GUUUCUCCGGCGAGGACUUCGACGCGUGGCACCUGGGUUUCCACGACUCCGAGGGUGAGUACGUGGCGGUGGAGCAGUCCGCUCAGAAGCC